rnacentral:rRNA from 1 species
UACGGGGGGGGCAAGCGUUACUCUACGUUACUGGGUGUAAAGGGUGCUAAGGUGGUUUAAUAAGUUUUUAAUGAAAUUUUAAAAUUUAAUUUUAAAACUGUUGAUAAAUACUGUUAAACUUUGAGUAUAAUAGGAGAUAGUUGUAUGCUUAGUGGAGGGUUAGAAUCCAACGAUAUUAAGAAGACAAUCAUUUGGUGAAGACUACUAUCUAUAUUAUAACUGACACUGACGUACGAAAGCGUGAGGAGCAAACAGG